rnacentral:rRNA from 1 species
UACGAAGGGGGCUAGCGUUGCUCGGAAUCACUGGGCGUAAAGCGCACGUAGGCGGAUUGCUAAGUCAGGGGUGAAAUCCUGGAGCUCAACUCCAGAACUGCCCUUGAUACUGGCGGUCUCGAGUCCGGGAGAGGUGAGUGGAACUGCGAGUGUAGAGGUGAAAUUCGUAGAUAUUGGGAAGAACACCGGUGGCGAAGGCGGCUCACUGGCCCGUAACUGACGCUCAUGCACGACAGCGUGGGGAGCAAACAGG